rnacentral:tRNA from 1 species
UCCGGGGUAGCUCAAUUUGGCAGAGCAUCCGGCUGUUAACCGGAGGGUUGCGGGUUCGAGUCCCGCCCCCGGAG